UACGGAGGACGCGAGCGUUAUCCGGAUUCAUUGGGUUUAAAGGGUGCGCAGGCGGGCGCGCAAGUCGGCGGUGAAAAGCAUCGGCUCAACCGGGGUCGUGCCGUCGAUACUGCGCGUCUUGAGUGCGGUCGAGGCAGGCGGAAUGUGGCGUGUAGCGGUGAAAUGCAUAGAUAUGCCACAGAACACCGUUGGCGGAGGCGGCUUGCCAGCCCUGCACUGACGCUCAUGCACGAAAGCGUGGGGAUCGAAC
rnacentral:rRNA from 1 species